rnacentral:rRNA from 1 species
UACGUAGGGGGCUAGCGUUGUCCGGAAUCAUUGGGCGUAAAGCGCGUGUAGGCGGUCCGGUAAGUCCGCUGUGAAAGUCGGGGGCUCAACCCUCGAAUGCCGGUGGAUACUGUCGGGCUAGAGUGCGGAAGAGGCGAGUGGAAUUCCUGGGUGUUAGCGGGUGAAAUGCGCAGAUAUCAGGAGGAACACCAAUUGCGAAGGCAGCUCGCUGGGACGUAACUGACGCUGGAGACGCGAAAGCGUGGGAGCAAACAGG